AUGAACGCUAGCGGCAGGCCUAAUACAUGCAAGUCGAGCGGCAAGUUGAGUAGUAAUACUUGACCUAGAGCGGCGCACGGGUGCGUAACACGUAUGCAAUCUACCUUUUACAGAGGGAUAGCCCAGAGAAAUUUGGAUUAAUACCUCAUAGUAUGUGAGAAUCGCAUGGUUUUCACAUUAAAGUUCCAACGGUAAAAGAUGAGCAUGCGUCCCAUUAGCUAGAUGGUAAGGUAACGGCUUACCAUGGCGACGAUGGGUAGGGGUCCUGAGAGGGAGAUCCCCCACACUGGUACUGAGACACGGACCAGACUCCUACGGGAGGCAGCAGUGAGGAAUAUUGGACAAUGGGCGCAAGCCUGAUCCAGCCAUGCCGCGUGCAGGAUGACGGUCCUAUGGAUUGUAAACUGCUUUUGUACAGGAAGAAACACUCCCUCGUGAGGGAGCUUGACGGUACUGUAAGAAUAAGGAUCGGCUAACUCCGUG
rnacentral:rRNA from 1 species